rnacentral:rRNA from 1 species
GAUGAACGCUGGCGGCGUGCCUAAUACAUGCAAGUCGAGCGAACAGACGAGGAACUUGCUCCUCUGACGUUAGCGGCGGACGGGUGAGUAACACGUGGAUAACCUACCUAUAAGACUGGGAUAACUUCGGGAAACCGGAGCUAAUACCGGAUAAUAUAUUGAACCGCAUGGUUCAAUAGUGAAAGACGGUUUUGCUGUCACUUAUAGAUGGAUCCGCGCCGGAUUAGCUAGUUGGUAAGGUAACGGCUUACCAAGGCAACGAUGCGUAGCCGACCUGAGAGGGUGAUCGGCCACACUGGAACUGAGACACGGUCCAGACUCCUACGGGAGGCAGCAGUAGGGAAUCUUCCGCAAUGGGCGAAAGCUUGACGGAGCAACGCCGCGUGAGUGAUGAAGGUCUUCGGAUCGUAAAGCUCUGUUAUUGGGGAAGAACAGAUGUGUAAGUAACUAUGCACGUCUUGACGGUACCUAAACAGAAAGCCCCGGCUAACUACGUG